CUGCUGUUAGUCUUGACCUAGAUGUGUUUGUAAGCGGUUAACCACAGUAGUCACUAUAACGGGCAUCUCUAACUGAUAUUAAUAAGAUAUAGUAUCUAAAAUAUACUUACGAGGCAACAUAUCUUCGAAGGGGUAAAAGCAGGCAACAAUGAGAUUUAUCAAUACAGCGCAGUUAAAAAGGAUAUUGCUCCAUAAGGACAUAUAGCUGCUAACCCAAAAGAGUACCGGUUGUGCUAAAAAAUAAAUUAUUACAAUAAGUGCAAGUUUCCUUAACAAAUCAACAGGUACACGUUGUUAGGUCUUAAAAUAUUUUUUAAGAUAUUUAAAAUAUUUUUUUAUUAAAAAUAUUUAAAAAGUAAA